GGGCCCGCACAAGCGGUGGAGCAUGUGGUUUAAUUCGAUGCAACGCGAAGAACCUUACCAGGGCUUGACAUACUACGAAUUUUCUUGAAAGAGAAAAGUGCCUUCGGGAAUGUAGAUACAGGUGGUGCAUGGCUGUCGUCAGCUCGUGUCGUGAGAUGUUGGGUUAAGUCCCGCAACGAGCGCAACCCUUAUUUUUAGUUACCAAUUCGUUGGGUUCUCUAGAAAGACUGCCGGUGACAAACCGGAGGAAGGUGAGGAUGACGUCAAGUCAGCAUGCCCCUUAUGUCCUGGGCUACACACGUGCUACAAUGGUUAAGACAAAGAGUUGCGAGCUUGUAAAAGUCAGCUAAUCUCGUAAACUUAGCCUAAGUUCAGAUUGUAGGCUGCAACUCGCCUGCAUGAAGUUGGAAUCGCUAGUAA
rnacentral:rRNA from 1 species